rnacentral:rRNA from 1 species
AUUGAACGCUGGCGGCAUGCCUUACACAUGCAAGUCGAACGGCAGCACGGGAGCUUGCUCCUGGUGGCGAGUGGCGAACGGGUGAGUAAUACAUCGGGAACGUACCCUGAAGUGGGGGAUAACGUAGCGAAAGUUACGCUAAUACCGCAUAUUCUGUGAGCAGGAAAGAGGGGGAUCGCAAGACCUCUUGCUUUAGGAGCGGCCGAUGUCGGAUUAGCUAGUUGGUGAGGUAAAGGCUCACCAAGGCGACGAUCCGUAGCGGGUCUGAGAGGAUGAUCCGCCACACUGGGACUGAGACACGGCCCAGACUCCUACGGGAGGCAGCAGUGGGGAAUUUUGGACAAUGGGCGCAAGCCUGAUCCAGCCAU